AAAUCUUUUUGGACUUGAAUAAUCUUGUAUCAGUUUCUAUUUUGAGAAAGAUGGAGAGGAUAUUAAGACAGGCAGACAUUGGCUGGCUACACAACAAAUAGGAGCUCAUUGCAGAAAUCCAGAUACAGAGUUUCCACUAUGACAAGAGGCCACCAUUAUCCAUCUUGACGAAAAGCUUAACAAGAACCAGUCCCAAUAUGGAUGUCGACUGGAUGAAUCUUCAAUGAGAGCACCAAGAGUAAGGAUGGACAACACUCUUAACAAGAAAUUAAGGAUUUGCCUCCAACCGUCUAUCCGAGAGCAGCCUGUUCAUCAAAAGAAGAGUUGAGAGCACUUUGACAAAUUCUUCAG